CCAUGGAAAAGUCUAAAGACUUCUCAAAGCAGAAAUACUUGCUUUGUUCAUUGAAGAGGAGGAGAAGAUCGCUGCUGCAGUGGGACAGCAGCUGUCACGGUCCGUGGUCCUGCGUCUGUGG